CACAUUUAGCUUAGUGAUAUUCUUAAUCUUAUAAAUUGAACAGAGUGUGUUCUAUUCAAUAGUGAGCUAAGUGUG